AGCCUUCCUUAGCCAUUCCUCUCCCAGCACAGCAAGGCCAUGGUAAACAACAGUGUUCUCUGAAAUCCCAGCCAAGCAUUUGUCAAAGCUCCUUGUCAAGCAUGAUCAAGUGAAGAUCAAACAGGGAGAAAGCAGAGCCAAUUGUCUCUUGUCAUUAGGAUGAAUGGCCAACCCAGAAGACAAGACAACACACCUGAUGAUAGCAUAUUGAUUACAGAGACCUGAAUGAGGCUGGAGGGCAUAAAAGAGAGCCUCUUCACACUUCAUCACUUACAAGCUCCUGGGAAAUCAGUGACCGUUUGGAGAAGGAGAGAAGAUGCCUUCCCAGAUGUUGGUAGUCACCUUGGCGGUACUGUUGGAAGCUUGCUGCAUUAAUGCUUAUCCUGUCUACCCUGAAAGCAAUGGUGUCCAAGGAAAUAAAAAUGCUCUCCAGGAAGAUGUCCCUGCCCGCCUGGUGGAAGACUUCAAGACAGUUCUCUGGAAGAUAGCGGCAGUGAGUGAGCUCCAGAGCCAGGGAUUUACCCAGGCAGACCAGGUCCCUCAACCCAACAAGAGAGGUGAGUGCUGGCUCCCAGUGAGUCCUGGGGUCCAGCUGCAUGAGGUCACCAUGCUACAGAGGGCUGCUCUCAU
rnacentral:lncRNA from 1 species